rnacentral:rRNA from 1 species
CCGGCACGGGUGAGUAACACGUAUGCAAUCCACCUGUAACAGGGGGAGUAACCCGGAGAAAUCCGGACUAAUACCCAUAAUAUGGGCUCUCCGCAUGGAGGGUCCAUUAAAGAGAGCAAUUUUGGUUACAGACGAGCAUGCGCUCCAUUAGCCAGUUGGCGGGGUAACGGCCCACCAAAGCGACGAUCAGUAGCCGACCUGAGAGGGUGACCGGCCACAUUGGGACUGAGACACGGCCCAA